rnacentral:rRNA from 1 species
UACGUAGGGUGCGAGCGUUAAUCGGAAUUACUGGGCGUAAAGCGUGCGCAGGCGGUUUGUUAAGCCAGAUGUGAAAGCCCCGGGCUCAACCUGGGAACUGCGUUUGGUACUGACAAGCUAGAGUACGGCAGAGGGGGGUGGAAUUCCACGUGUAGCAGUGAAAUGCGUAGAGAUGUGGAGGAACACCGAUGGCGAAGGCAGCCCCCUGGGUUAACACUGACGCUCAGGCACGAAAGCGUGGGGAGCAAACAGG